UACGUAGGGGGCUAGCGUUGUCCGGAAUCAUUGGGCGUAAAGAGCGUGUAGGCGGUCCGGUAAGUCCGCUGUGAAAGUCGGGGGCUCAACCCUCGGAUGCCGGUGGAUACUGUCGGGCUUGAGUACGGAAGAGGCGAGUGGAAUUCCUGGUGUAGCGGUGAAAUGCGCAGAUAUCAGGAGGAACACCAAUGGCGAAGGCAGCUCGCUGGGACGGUACUGACGCUGAGGCGCGAAAGCGUGGGGAGCAAACAGG
rnacentral:rRNA from 1 species